rnacentral:lncRNA from 1 species
GGCAAAUACAAUAUGAGUCUUAAAUAUCUUGUGGUGCCAGAAGGAGUGGAUGUUAUGACAGAGGAAUGUAGGAAGGAAGGACAUCAGGCUCUGAACAUCCAUCCAUGUAAAACAUUGAAUAAGACUAGCUGUUAAACAGGGCUUUUUCCCUAGAAAGGUGUCAUAAUUUUGACUCCAUCAAAUUCUUCUAACAGCAAGUACUCAUUUGGGCCCAUUUUACAGAAGAAGGAAAACUCUUGAGUGGCUCAAUCUUGGCUCUCCACAACCUCUGCCUCCUGGAUUCAAGCGAUUCUAUUCCCCAGCAUACCAAGAAGCUGGGAUUACAGUUUUGAAGAUGAAGAAAAACCGAAGCUAUAAGGACUGAGAUAAAAUGCCAAGGACAUAUAGCUUGAAAAAGGCAUGGCUAGAAUGUGCACUCAGUAUGACCUCAGCACCCAAGCUCUUUACCAAUAUAUGCUGCAAUCUUAGGCUCAUCAACUGCACACAGUGAAUUGUGGUGCUACUUCGUCUAAGCCUGCAUUCUCCUUCAGAGCCUACACCUCCCUUUCAGCUGUUUUCACCUUCACUGUUCCAAAAAAAGCAGACUUUGAAAACUUAAGAAAUGACAUUAAAAAAAAUCAAAAUCGA